rnacentral:misc_RNA from 1 species
CACCUAUGGAUUUUGUG